UACAGAGGGUGCGAGCGUUAAUCGGAAUUACUGGGCGUAAAGCGCGCGUAGGCGGCAUGGUAUGUCGGGUGUGAAAUCCCCGGGCUAAACCUGGGAACUGCAUCCGAAGCUGCCUUGCUAGAGUAUGGGAGAGGGAAGUGGAAGUUCCUGUGUAGCAGUGAAAUGCGUAGAUAUCGGAAGGAACCUCAGUGGCGAAGGCGACUUCCUGGGCCAAUACUGACGCUCAUGUGUGCAAUCGUGGGGAGCAAACAGU
rnacentral:rRNA from 1 species